UUGAGUGAGACCCUCCCCCCUUAAAACCCUAGAAACUCACACAUAACUCGUCUCUCUCACCCCUCUCUCACUAUCCGCCGCCUCCGCCGCCGGAAAUCACCCUACGGCGACAGCCCAUCGCCAAAUAACCCCAAAACUUCACCAUAUAAUCCCAAGAUUCUUUCAUCACCAAUCUACCAUUAAUUCCCCUCAAUUUCCAUUAGAACUCCAUGAAUUUUAGAUCUUAAUCUAGGAAAAACCUAAAUCCACCCCUUUUCAAUUUUUUCUCAAAAAUCCCAAUUUGUUUGGGCUUAAAACCAAUGUCAAUCGACCGUUGUUGUUGAAUGUUACAAGUUGGCUUGGUUGUGUCUCGUUUCAAGGUCGUCGUUCAACUCGCCACUAGCUGGUCAGUUUUGUGGAAAGCCACUGUAAUUCUAGGUCCUUUUCCUUUUUCUUGGUUCAUUUUUGUCAUCUCUACUUGAAACACUGUCUACUCCCUUAAGCGUGAGUCAGUGUUCAUGUUGUGAUGCCUGACAUCCUCCAGAAUUUCCUUAUGUUCGAUGAUAUAUUGAUUUUGAGCACUAUUGAAUUCAUGUGAGUCAUUCAACUAUUCCCUGUGUUAUUGUACGAGCUGCCAGAUUGUGGAAUUCAUCUUAUAAUAACAUUGGGAUUCAUAAUUAAUUAGUUCCAAUCUUAUAGCCUAUUUUUUUAUUUGAGUAGUUUCUUUUGGUCUCAAUUUGUAAUUAAGUGAACCUUCCUCCACUGAGUAGUGUAUCUCAAUCCAUUAGUGCACUAUUCAGUUAAUUCAAUUCAAAUUAAUAUUACAGUUUCAAAUGUAGAAUUAAAUGUAGCAUUUUGAUCCAGUAAUGUGAUUUUCAUAUCCCGAUAUUUGGAAGUUCGUCUAAAUCGCUGCUAGUUAUUGCCAUUUAAUUUGCUAGUUUCCAAACUUGUUUUGAUGUGUUUAUGGUAAGAAUUUGGUAAAUAUUUAUCAUGUUCAGUCAUUUAAUUGUAAACACUAUGUUGAAUGUAUCUAUCUAUUGCAUCUAAUUUCCUAUGGGGUUCAACAGCCAAAGAUUAUAUGAAUCAUGAAAAGAUGAGUCUUGCUUUAAUCUCUUUAAAAAUAUAGCUACUUUGUUUUCUUUUUUUUUUUGUUGGAAAGA